rnacentral:rRNA from 1 species
AACGAACGCUGGCGGCGCGCCUAACACAUGCAAGUCGAACGAGAAUCCGGGGCAACCCGGUAGUAAAGUGGCAAACGGGUGAGGAAUACAUGGGUAACCUACCCUUGAGAAGGGAAUAACCCGCCGAAAGGUGAGCUAAUACCCUAUACGCUAUCUUUUUUUCGAAAAGGAUAGGAAAGCCGGGUCGAGGACCUGGUACUCAAGGAGGGGCUCAUGUCCUAUCAGCUUGUUGGUGGGGUAACGGCCUACCAAGGCUACGACGGGUAGCUGGUCUGAGAGGAUGAUCAGCCACACUGGCACUGAGAUACGGGCCAGACUCCUACGGGAGGCAGCAGUGAGGAAUAUUGCGCAAUGGGCGAAAGCCUGACGCAGCGACGCCGCGUGGGGGAUGAAGGUUUUCGGAUUGUAAACCCCUUUCAUGAGGAAAGAUAAAGUGGGUAACCACUUAGACGGUACCUCAAGAAGAAGCCACGGCUAACUUCGUGCCAGCAGCCGCGG